rnacentral:rRNA from 1 species
UAACACGUGGGUGACCUGCCCCGAUGACCGGGACAACCCGAGGAAACUCGGGCUAAUACCGAAUGUGCCCUCAGACCGCAAGGUCGAUGGGGAAAGGAAGCUUCGGCCUCCGCAUCGGGAUGGGCCCGCGGCCCAUUAGCUUGUUGGUGAGGUAACGGCUCACCAAGGCAACGAUGGGUAGCUGGUCUGAGAGGACGAUCAGCCACACUGGGACUGAGACACGGCCCAG